GAUAGUUUGUUUUCUCAUCUUAAUUACCUCCCCGGGGAGAAGUAUAAAAUUGGAACCCUUAUGUUAUCAGAUUCAUGCCCUAUAUACUAAAAAAAGAGGCAGAAGCCUCUAUAAUCGGCAGCCGCAUCUAUCCUAAUUUAUUUACUGGUCUUCGUCGUGUCUGAAUCCUCCGUCGAAACCAUGUCUUCUGUGGCAAGCAAAUUUUCCACGGCUGAGACAGGCGUCUUAUAUAUUUUCCGAUCCCUGUUGGUCUCAGUCCUGCGUCUAUCUGUGCUAAUAUUCAAUAACUACUAGUAUUAGAAUUUUCUUGUAAACUAUUCAAUAUUCUAUAUAUUUUCAAUAUGUUCAAAUC